GACGAACGCUGGCGGCGUGCUUAACACAUGCAAGUCGAACGGAAAGGCCCUGCUUUUGUGGGGUGCUCGAGUGGCGAACGGGUGAGUAACACGUGAGUAACCUGCCCUUGACUUUGGGAUAACUUCAGGAAACUGGGGCUAAUACCGGAUAGGAGCUCCUGCUGCAUGGUGGGGGUUGGAAAGUUUCGGCGGUUGGGGAUGGACUCGCGGCUUAUCGGCUUGUUGGUGGGGUAGUGGCUUACCAAGGCUUUGACGGGUAGCCGGCCUGAGAGGGUGACCGGCGACAUGGGGACUGAGAUACGGCCCAGACGCCUACGGGAGGCAGCAGUGGGGAAUAUUGCACAAUGGGCGGAAGCCUGAUGCAGCAACGCCGCGUGCGGGAUGACGGCCUUCGGGUUGUAAACCGCUUUCGCCUGUGACGAAGCGUGAGUGACGGUAAUGGGUAAAGAAGCACCGGCUAACUACGUG
rnacentral:rRNA from 1 species